rnacentral:rRNA from 1 species
CGCCUGUUUAUCAAAAACAUGUCUUUUUGUGAAUUAUUUAAGGUCUGGCCUGCUCAAUGAUUAUUAAAUAGCUGCAGUAUAUUGACUGUACAAAGGUAGCAUAAUCAUUAGUUUUUUAAUUGAAAGCUGGAAUGAAUGGCUGGAUAAGGAAGUUGCUGUCUCAUUUUAAUUAAUUAGAAUUUUAUUUUUAAGUUAAAAAGCUUAAAUUUUAUAGAAAGACGAGAAGACCCUAUAGAGUUUAAUAAAUUAGUAUUUUGAUUAUUUUAGGAUUUUAAUUUAAUUUUAAUAUAAUUUAUUUGGUUGGGGUGACAUUAGAAUUUGAUAAACUUCUUGUUUUUAUUACAUUAAUAAGUGAGCUAAUGAUCCUGUUUUUUGGAUUAAAAGAUUAAAUUACCUUAGGGAUAACAGCGUAAUUUUUUUGGAGAGUUCUAAUCGAUAAAAAAGGUUGCGACCUCGAUGUUGGAUUAAAGUAUAAUUUUGGUGCAGAAGCUGAAAUUUUAAGUCUGUUCGACUUUUAAAACUUUACGUGAUCUGAGUUUAGACCGG